ensembl:lncRNA
CGUUAAUGUCUGCUCACCCUCGGAUGUUGCUGUGUGUUCCGUUACCUGUUUUGCCUGCCUGUUAGUUUAUUUUUCCUCAGUGCGGCGCACGGAGCUUUCCGCUACACACUGGCGACCGCCAUUGGAGACUGGAAUCUCAACACAGCUGCUGCGGAAUUCCUCCUCAUGCCAUUCUGAGCCUAACUCACCGGCCUCUUUCUUGGCAGCAAUGUGGUCAGAGGAUGAAGAGCAAGCCUUCAUCGCUCCACCAUCACCAGUUUCCUCCAUCACCUCUGUUCCCUCAUCAGGGAGGAAACGUCGUUCACGCCACCGGCAUCCCUUAACUCAGCCGGAUUCUGGGACUUCUGAGCAGCCGGCUGGGAGCAAUACUGAGCUGCAGUGGGCAGAAAGGCAGGAAAGUGAAUUCUGGUCUUGUUACUUUAAAUCGAGAAAGCCGAUGGAGGCAGCAGCAGCAGGUAGCAGGAGGGUACUAUUAUUGUCACAGAGAGAGCUGUCUGACUGAGGUACUGCAACAGCAGAGGGGCACCAAUACUCCUUGGAAGCGUGUAGUCCGCCAAACCAACGAAGAAGAAGAGAGCGCCACUUCUAACGGUCCAGACUCCGCUCAGCAAGGGACUGUCAGCAGCACCCUGCACUGAACCUUCUAUUUCAAUAUCCAAAUCAGUGUGGAGCAGAAUGCACCAUAGAGAUUUACAACUCUCCUGUUGAAUGCCUAAAGACUGAAGACUGCAAGGAAAGAACGCUAAUCUACACUGAGCAUCUGACAAGACUUGCAUCCAAGUCCUCAAACAUAUUGAAUCCAAAACCUGUUCCAGUUCCUCAGACACCAUCAGACUGUUUUGAAAGCCCUUUUACUAUCAAGUCUGGAUAAAAAAACUUUGUCAACCACUGCAAGUAUCAAGUAUUUAAAAAAAAAAAAAAAAAAAAAAAAAAAAUUAUUUGACUGUUUAUUUUGUACUUAUUUGUUUUUGGUUGUAUUAAGUUUGAUAUUAAUUAGAUCAGUGCCUUUUUAGUCAUUAAUUUGAUUAUUUAAUAUUAACUGUUAUGUUUAUUGCCACAUUUGUUGGACCUUAAUUUUUUUAGACGACAUUCUGGCUACAACAGCUGACAAUAAUUUACUGUAAAUAUGAACUUUUGAAUAAAAAACAUGUUUUGUAUUAUACAGCUCUUCUGUGCUUUGUCAAUAGGAGACGGUAAUCAAGCUUAUUAAAAUUGUAUUUUAACCGGUUUACAUUAUAUUAGGUUUUUUAUUUCAAUGUAAUUAUUGUACAAAAACCAAAGUUCACUCUGAAUUUUACAUUUCUCAACGAAGUAUGCU